rnacentral:lncRNA from 1 species
AUGGGAAAGAAGGGGAAAAAAGGGUUAAGAAACUUGGCUGAAGAGCUGAAUGGCGUCGAGCGGCGAGGGGAGGGACUGGGCCGCGGCGGACUCAGCGGCGGAGGGAGGAGCGCGGCUGCGGGCGGGCGGCGAGCGAGGCGCUCAAAGUCAGCCUCGCAGACAUUGCAGCAGAGCCCCGAACUCGGGAGGCGGCGGCGGCGGCGGCGGAGGAGGAGGCGGCGGCCGAGGCGGAGGGACGACCCGGCCCCACGCCCGCCCGCGCGCCCGCACGCCCGCCCGUGGCCUCGCGUCCGCCGCUGCGCUCGGCAGUGCUGCCGGUCGGAGGCAAGAGCUCGCUGGGGCGCCGAGGGAGGACGGGGCGGUGGGGCGCCUUCGCGGAGUGAGCCUGCCGGAGCCCCGGGCUCGGAGCCGCGGCGGCCUCGGAGUGUUUGGAUUGUGAGCAAUUUAAGCUCUAUCCUCAGGAUCCAUUAUUUUAACAUUUGGGAGAAACACAUCCAGAAGAACACUGAUGUUUGCAUUUAUUGUGGAACGAAAGGUGAAGAAGGAGAAGCAGUACCUUCGCUAAGGAUUCUGUCUGCUUGCUGCUGCAGACCUGUGUGUUGA